rnacentral:rRNA from 1 species
AAAACUUCCAACAACGGAUCUCUUGGUUCUGGCAUCGAUGAAGAACGCAGCGAAAUGCGAUAAGUAAUGUGAAUUGCAGAAUUCAGUGAAUCAUCGAAUCUUUGAACGCACAUUGCGCCCGCCAGUAUUCUGGCGGGCAUGCCUGUUCGAGCGUCAUU